GAUGAACGCUGGCGGCGUGCUUAACACAUGCAAGUCGAACGAAGCACUCUAUUUGAUUUUCUUCGGAGAUGAAGAUUUUGUGACUGAGUGGCGGACGGGUGAGUAACGCGUGGGUAACCUGCCUCAUACAGGGGGAUAACAGUUGGAAACGACUGCUAAUACCGCAUAAGCGCACAGGAUCGCAUGAUCCGGUGUGAAAAACUCUGGUGGUAUGAGAUGGACCCGCGUCUGAUUAGCCAGUUGGCAGGGUAACGGCCUACCAAAGCGACGAUCAGUAGCCGACCUGAGAGGGUGACCGGCCACAUUGGGACUGAGACACGGCCCAAACUCCUACGGGAGGCAGCAGUGGGGAAUAUUGCACAAUGGGGGAAACCCUGAUGCAGCGACGCCGCGUGAGCGAAGAAGUAUUUCGGUAUGUAAAGCUCUAUCAGCAGGGAAGAAGAAUGACGGUACCUGACUAAGAAGCACCGGCU
rnacentral:rRNA from 1 species